GAUGAACGUUGGCGGCGUGCCUAAUACAUGCAAGUCGAACGAAGACUGUAGUAAUACUGUCUUAGUGGCGAACGGGUGUAGUAACGCGUGGGUGACCUGCCCCGAAGUGUGGGAUAACAGUUCGAAAGAACUGCUAAUACCGCAUAACAUCCAAGAGAUUAGAAGCUUUUGGAUUAAAGGAGUAAUUCGCUUCGGGAGGGGCCCGCGUCCCAUCAGCUAGUUGGUAAGGUAAUGGCUUACCAAGGCGAUGACGGGUAGGGGACCUGAGAGGGUGGCCCCCCACAAUGGAACUGAAACACGGUCCAUACACCUACGGGUGGCAGCAGUAGGGAAUAUUAGUAAUGGGCGAAAGCCUGAACUAGCAACGCCGCGUGUGCGAAGAAGGCCUUCGGGUUGUAAAGCACUUUUUGAGAGGAUGAGGAAGGACGGUACUCUCAGAAUAAGUCUCGGCUAACUACGUG
rnacentral:rRNA from 1 species